CUGGCUGGAUCUUUUCUUGCAGAGAAAGGGAUUCUCUGCUGUAUGCCCUGACUGGGAGGUAUUUCUUUUUGCAGAUCUUGAAUAGGUCUCCUGUCUCCAGCAUGGUCUUAGCAAAGCGUGAUGCUCUCAGGGCCUCCUGCUCCAGAGGCAGACUGUUCAGCACUGCUGGUCAGUGCAGUAAGAUCAAAAGCUCAAGGAUGAAGAAUAAGAGCUGAUGUCAAGCAAACAGCUGGUCCUCCAGCAUCUCGUCAUCCUGCCUCCUGCCAAAGCUCAUGUCAACGUGUUCUGCUCUGAAAGCUGCAUUGUGGUUUUGUUUGACAAGGAGUACAGAAGCAUGCUGAGUACUUCAUGAAGGAAAUAACUGAAAAGAGGAGGAGGAGGGGCAGAUUAAAAAUGAAAUGUGCACUGUUACCUGUGUGGCAGCAACUUAGAGCAGGUGGGCCCUUCUAACUUUGGAUGCUGUGUAUGGCCCAGCAGCCAUAUUGGGUGGAGCUGUGUGAAGACAUGGGAAUGCACAGAACUCCUCAUCUCCUGCUGCCGCUGCUUCAGGCACGUUUCCAGCCACAGACAGAAAAGACCAAGCUCACUGCACCAAGCAAACGAGAAGAAAAAGAUUAAUAGCAUCACUCUCCAGGAAAAACUUCAUCUUCCUGUCCUCAUCUUGCCCUAUGGAGCAUGUUAUCAACUCAAGAAACUCCCAAUAGGAGAGAAAGCGAGUUCACACCCAGCUCUCUGCAGCCCCAGGCUGGAAGAUAGCUCUGCUCAGAGAAUCACUGAAAAGGCAGCAGAAAUAAAUUUCCCUCCAUGAGCUUUUCACAGCACAAAAGCUGUGCUUAAACAUGCUAGGAAGUGGCGUUUUGCAAAAAAAAAAACACGUUCAUUUUAAUAUCAGAUUGUUUAAAAAUCGCUCUGAAUGCUUUCUUAUUUAGCUUGUAAGAAUAAAGAGAGAGGGGCAAGAUGGGACACCCCAAAAUCAUUUUCCAUAGGCACAUCUCGUCUAUUUUCUGGAUUUUGAAAGCUGGAAAUUUUUGAAUCUUGUUUCCUUUUUUCAUGCUGUGGCCUCACCUGUGCAGUGAGGGCUGAUCUGCCCCACUGCAGAAUGGCUCUGCUCUGGUGCUUUGGGUUUGAAUCCAAGUUUCCAGAGAGGGAAAUGGUAGCAAUAGGGCAGACAAGGCUCACAAUGUUGUCCUCUAAACAAUCAAGCUCUCCCUCUGUUUGCGAACAUGCCAAAAUAUUACAGAUGCUGCAGAUGUAACAUAAAUGCACUUACUGCGGUAUUUUUUUUUCCUGAGUCCUAUUAGAAAAAAGA